CUUUUGAUAUAAAUGUUUUACAUCAAAUUUAUACUGAAGACUAAUGUAUACACAUGAAUUAAAGGUAAUGUUGUGUAAUUGUCAAUGACAGUGACACUACUCACAAGUUCAACAUAGAUAAACAUGUAUUUUGAUAUAUAACAGAAUAAACAGAAGGUCAAUGGUUUUCUCAUGGGACUGUAGCUUCUGUCACCCACCAAAGAAUAGGCAAUAGUGUUGAAAGUGGUGUUAGACACCAAUCAAUCAACCUCAAUUAUUUGAUUGACCUAUGAGAUUUAAGGAUGUACUGAGGUGAAAUUAGGUGAUAUUAAAUAAAUCAAGAAUUUUAAAUUAUACUAUAAGCUGGAAGAGUAAAAGUUAAGGAUCAAAAUAAGCUAAAUAUAUUCAUAGGUCAUGGAGCUCCUUUUCAAGAUAUUCAAUUUAUAAAAUAUGGCGGGGAAAGGCUGACUUGGACUUUUACCUCAUAUUUCCAUGGUAUUUUUUGGGUCUCAAAUAAAAUAUCAAGAAUGUACUUAGAUUUUGUCAAAUGACCUUUUAUGAACUAAUAAAUCUUAUAUGAAAAGAUAUAGGGGUGUUAUCGGGGGAAAUAUUUUACCUUGUAUCGUAUGGUAAAAAACCAAGAAGUCUGAACAUCUGACACAAAUUCCAAAACCUCACCCAAGUACAUCCAUAAGGAAAAUAUUUAAAAAAAAAAGAUAAUGAUCUUUUAAUCAAUACAUGUAUAAACUAACAAAUGUAUUGCAAAAGAUUUUUUGUUUAAAACUAGCAAGAAGCUACAUAACCCCUCAUUUUUUGUAAAUUCAGAAAUUAUUGUGAGUAUUUCUUAUUCUGAUUGUUGAAAAAUGAAAGUAUGAAUACAUAAGGUUCAAGGUGUUUUUUUCCACUACCGAUGGUGUUGCCUUUUUAGCAAUAAUAAAACCAUUGUAACAAAUUCUGAAUUAACCAUAUAUACUAUACAUGCAAGCAACAAUUUUCUAUUUUUUAAAAGUUAUUAAUGCUGACCAGUUGUCAACAAAGAAAAUAUUAAAAUGAGUUAAAGUUUUGAGGGAUGAAUUUAAUUUUUUUUUCAUUUUCAUAUUUGGUAAUAAAUCCUUAAUAUUUCUAUAUUCCAUAAAAGUGGAUCUACAUGUUUAAAUGGGAUAUUGUAGGAAAAAAUAUUUAUUGCAUGCCACCAUAUGUUGUUUUAGUUUAUUCUGUUGAUUGUUAACCAAUGAUAACAUAUUUUUACUGCUAUUGAAUUGUAUAGCCAUCUUCCAAAACACAUUCAUUUUUUAAACUAAUUUCUGCUUUUCCUUGCUUGAAAGUAUCUCCGAUUUUACCCAGUGCAAAUAAAAAAUCUUUGUAAAGUUGGGUCUCAUUGAUGUAUAUCCACAUUUCUUUUGUUAAUAGCCUAAAAUGUCAAAAAAGUGGGACAAGGCAAUCUGAAUUCUGUCAUCAUCAUAUCUGGUUAAAGUUUUAUGUCAAUCAUUUAUGGAACUUCACGAUACUUGGACAUAAGAUUUUUAUGAUUAAAAGACAGCUCCAGGGCA
rnacentral:lncRNA from 1 species